AGAACGAACGCUGGCGGCAUGCCUAAUACAUGCAAGUCGAACGAACACUUCGGUGUUAGUGGCGCACGGGUGCGUAACGCGUGGGAAUCUGCCCUUGGGUUCGGAAUAACAGUUGGAAACGACUGCUAAUACCGGAUGAUGACGAAAGUCCAAAGAUUUAUCGCCCAGGGAUGAGCCCGCGUAGGAUUAGCUAGUUGGUGAGGUAAAGGCUCACCAAGGCGACGAUCCUUAGCUGGUCUGAGAGGAUGAUCAGCCACACUGGGACUGAGACACGGCCCAGACUCCGUACGGGAGCAGCAGUAGGG
rnacentral:rRNA from 1 species